UACGUAGGGUGCAAGCGUUGUCCGGAAUUAUUGGGCGUAAAGAGCUCGUAGGCGGUCUGCCGCGUCGGCUGUGAAAACUCGGGGCUCAACUCCGAGCUUGCAGUCGAUACGGGCAGGCUAGAGUUCGGCAGGGGAGACUGGAAUUCCUGGUGUAGCGGUGAAAUGCGCAGAUAUCAGGAGGAACACCGGUGGCGAAGGCGGGCUCCUGGGCCGAUACUGACGCUGGAGGAGCGAAAAGCCGGGUGGGAGAAAC
rnacentral:rRNA from 1 species